rnacentral:ncRNA from 1 species
AAAUGUGGAUAGAUUUGUAAUGAUUGCAACCACUUGAAAAAAUGCUAAAGCACUAA